CGUCUUCCAUUGUUCCUGCCUCUGACCCUCCACCUCACCUGUGACCCCGUAGUUCUACAGAAAAGGGGUGUCUCACCCUCUGAAGAUCUUCUGUAAUCCCUGGAUGAUUGACCACGCAGUGCUCCUCGUGGGAUACGGACAUCGUAAUGGAAUCCCAUUCUGGGCCAUUAAGAACAGCUGGGGCGAGGACUACGGAGAGGAUGGCUAUUACUACCUCUACAGAGGGUCCAGGUUGUGUGGGAUAAACAAGAUGGGCUCCUCUGCUGUGGUGAACUAAACAGCAUCACUGGCUGGCCUCCAUAGAUAACUGCUGGCUAGCAAACAUACCCACUACCAACUCCAAAAUGAGCUACGUACAGCCUCCCUCCCGGGAGCAAUCAGGAAUUUAGGAAUUCAGACACUAGUGGGGGGGGGGGGGGGGGGAAGUUACUAUAAACAAUGAUUAAACACUGGAAAGACAAACGUGAAACUGGAGAGUUUUAAACUGAAAUAUGCUUAAAAAAGGGACUAAAUGCUGAUGUAUGAUAGAUUUUACAGAGCUUUGACUAGAGGACUUCGUUUUUGGUUUAGUACGUUCAGGGGAAACUGGGGAUUUUAGUGAGUUUAGAAGAAGAAAAAAAAACUAGCCUUUCAUCAAAGUUACAUGAUACAUUAGCUGUUUUAAUAUUUUAAUUAUUUAAUGCAGUCAAUGUUUUUAGAUGAGUAGGCAGUCAUUUUCUGUAAUGGCAAAUUGUCCUAUUGUAGGCUACUGUGCAAUAUAUAUUCAUAGACCUUUUUAGAUGUGGGAAAGGAAUUUGUGAAUUUGGUUAUUUUAAUAAAUUGUUUUCACUGUAUAUGAAAUGGAGUGCCAUAUCAAUGGUUCACAUCAAACAAAUAUCUGUAGAAAGCAUUAGUGAUUUGCUCUGACUGAAAUCAGUUUUGUUUUCCAUGGAAUAAAAUCCUAUUAUUCACCUCA